UUAAUUUUCAUUUAGUCUGUUAUAAAAGUAGUUAUUCUCAUUUUUCCCUAUGAAGGCAUAGAGUCAGUAAAGAGAUUUAUAAUGAAGCUAUGUGGUCACUUUAAUGCAUAUCUUUGUAGCUGCCUGUAGAAGAGUUUUCUAUUGACUGUGGAAACCCCUUCAUAAGAAACAGGGUGAGGGUCACUCUAGCUGAGCUUGAGUAGUUUACUUAACCUGUCUGUUUCCAAACUGGUAAAAUGGAUUGUGGUGAAGAUUAGAGCUGAUACAGUUUAAGCACCCAGCUGCCCUCUUGCAAGUGAGGAUACUAAGAGAGGAACCCAGUCCCAACCUCUCCCCAGGGAAUAGCAGCAGGAGAGUGCUGGGUUGUAGACCAGUGUUGAGACUUGUAAAUAGUCUUUGGCACCAUAGGGCCAUGUGUAUUCACUCAUCAAAUUCAGCCGUGUGUGUGUGUGUGUGUGUGUGUGUGUGUGUGUGUGUAUGUGUGUGUGUGCGUGUUUGUGACCCUACUCUGAGCCAGGUACUGUUUCAGGUAUUAGGGAUACUGCUGUGAAUAAAACAGAGAUGCUGCCCCUGCUGAUGGAGACAAGUAAUAACUAAAGAAACAUAGAUGGAGAUCUGUGCUAUAAAGAAAGAGCAGAGAGCAGGCAUGUUGGCUCAUGCCUAUAAUCCUAGCACUUUGGGAGCCCAAAGUGAGAGGAUCACUUGAGCCUAGGAGUUCAAGACCAGCCUGGGCAACAUGGUGAGACUACGUCUCUACUUAAAAACAACAACAACAGAGUAUGGAGAUAGAGAGUGAUCAAGUGGGAGGGAAUUGUUUUGGAUAGGACUUUCAGAUCAAGUAAGGUCAGAUCAGCCUCUCAUCAGAAGACACUUGUAGCAGAGUGCUUACUAAGGAAGUGAAGGAGCUCUGAGUUUGUCAUAUGAAUAUUGGGAAAAAGAAUGUUCCAGGCAGUGAAAACAGCAUGAGCAAAGGCCCUGAGGCAAUAGCAUACUUGAUGUGUUCCACUAAGGAGGGCAAUGUUGUGCCUGGAGUGGAGUCAACAAGGAAGAGAUUAAGCUAGAGGCUGAGGUCAGAGAGAUGGGUGAGGUGGCCAGAUCAUAUGAGGCCUUGUAAAUCAAGAUAAGGACUUUCUUUGGCUUUUGAGUAAAAUGGGAAACUAUAGAGAUUUUUAAGCAGAGGAGUGACAUCAUCUGACUUCAAAGGAGUUUUUAUAGUGUGUUGUGGGCUUUUAUAGGCUCAGGCAAGAGGUGGAUAGGGUGGAUGGGGAAUAGAUCUUGUAGAGCUGAGUGUUCCAAUAUGGUGGCCUCUGGCCACAAGUGGCUACUUAAAUGUAAAUUAAUUAAAAUUUUAAAAAUUAAAAAUUCAUUUUAUCAAUUGCACUAGCCACAUUUCAAAUGCACAGUAGCCACAUGUAGCUAGUGGCUACUGUAUUGGACAGUGAGAUGUAGAUCAUUUCCAUUGCCACAGAAAGUUCUACUGGACAGUGCUGGUAGGGUAUUAAAGGUCUUUGUAGGGACUUCAACUUUUACUCUGAGUAAAUAGAAAGCCAUUGGAGGGUUUUAAGCAGAGGAGGAACAUGCUCUGACUUAUGAUUUCGAAAGAUCACUGUUGAGAAUAGACUGUAAGGGGGCAAUGGUGAAAGUUGAUAGACCAUUAAUAGUCUAGAUGAGAGAUGACCAUGUCUUCGAUGAGGGGGUAGGAGUGAUAAUGAUGAUAAAUUAUUGGAUUUUGGAUAUAUUUUGAAGGCAGAACCAAUAGGCUUUUCUGAUGAAAAUGAUGUGAUAUGAGAAAAUAAUGACAAAAAGGUUGUGGGUGAUGAUGAGAGAAGAGAAUACAAGGCCAAAGAGAAGGGAUUUCCCUUGUGGAGGAGGAGUCUCAUUCACCUUGAAGCAGGAGGGAAAGCAGGGAUCUGGGUGGAAAAAGAUCUAGAGAAUCCUCAUCUAAGCAGAAGAUGAAGGAGUAAAGAGAGAAAGAUGGGUGUAUUGGAAGCUUGCGGGUGAUGGAGAAAGUUUCAAAUAAUUCUUGGAAAAUAAGUUGAAAAAAGAAACGUAACACAGUUGUUAGAGCAGGGCAUGAUUGCUUGUGCCUAUAGUCCCAGCUACUUGGGAUCCUGAGGCAGGAGGAUCUCUUGAGCCCAGGAGAUGGAGGCUGCGUUGAGCUAUGUUUAUGCCACUGCACUCCAGCCUAAGCGACAGAGCAAGACUCCAUUUCUUAAAAAUAAAACAAAAAUGUAGUUGUUAGUAUUGAGGGCCCAUAAGAAGUUGGUGAUGAUGAACCUAUCUACGCUUUUGAUCACCUCCAGCAGAGUUUGACUGUUGCGUGCAAGCAAAGAGAAAGGAGAUGGUGGGGUUCAAUGAGGGCUGUCGUUUUCCUAGAUAGGUUUGUAGAAAAAACAGAGAGGAAGGGAGUUUAAGGGAUUGGCAAAAAGGAUAUAGUAAUAACAGACCAUGGAAUAAAAAUUGAGUAAGAAGGAAAGUGAAAACAGCUGAAGGCUAAUGAAUUGGGAGAAAGCAGAUGGAUCAAUAGACUGGAGGCCCCAGUAUUUCUAAGAGCAGUUGGAGUUGUUGUCAUGCAAGUUGGAAGGAAAGAUGCUUAUCCAAAAGCUGAAUGCCUGAAUCAGUAAUCUUGUGGCAGAGCUAUUGUAGGUGAUGACAAGGUCAGUCCUUUGAAGUCUAUGCAUAUAUAUCUUCAUUAUAGGCUGACUUGCCAAGUCUUAGAAUUUUUACAAUAUAACCUCACUGUGGAUCUCAUCUAAGCAGGUUUGGUAACCAAAAGCUCAAGAGCAUGAGAUUGAGACCCCAGAGAGCUCAUAGCCUGUCACAAAUCAGCUGUGUAACCACGGACCUUGAGGAAAUGAACCUUAUGGUCCCUUCCAUCUCUAAUCUGUGACUCCAUAGCCCCAUUAUAAUAUAGCCUUUUCCCAAACACUGACCUUCAACAUAGACCCUGGGGGAUUUUUCUAUUAAAAAUUUGCAACUCUGCACAUUUUUAUCUGCUGAUGCCUCUUGGAAUAUUAAAUGCUUAGAAAGCUGUCCUCGGGAUCACAUUCUGGAAUCUUGACCAUGUAGUCAUCUGAGUGGGUGUGACAGGAAGUAUACACCAGCAGCAUUUGUGUCUGAGUGUCCUUCAGACAAUGGGAUGGCUGCACCUUUACCCGUCCUCUCCAACUCUCUCCACCUAGAAAGUAUUCUUUUCUCUUAAUUUUGUUAGAGCUAUAUAGGAAUGCUCCUUCAGCAGAAAUGACAGAGGCUGUUGCUCUCAGAAUCAAAUGCAAUAAUGUGACCUGUAAAUUCCUGUGAAUAUUUGGAUAUUUUAGCGAUAUUUGUUUAUUCAGAAGAGAUUCUGGAUGCAGAACUCUCCUCCUCUCUGUUCUCUAACCCUGCUUUCCACCAUCAUUCUUCUCUCUCUAGGGCACAGAGAGAAUUAAGAACAACCUAAGGUAAAUUUUUAACAAGAUGGUCUAGCUUGAGCUCUGUAGGCUUGACUGAUGAAAUAAGUAGUAGUUUUUUGCUAAAAUAACCACAUUGUUUGCAAAAGUUUUCUCCUUCGAGUUUUCUAGGGUCAUUACAAUGAUCUAACUGCCUUACCUGCUUUUGAACUGGUUGAGCCUCCUGUGGGACCGAAAACAAAAGAAGGGUGUUGAAAUGCAAAUAGAUAACUCUGGGUCCCAGUCCCUGACUGCAAAAGGAAGCCAAAACUGACAACAAUGUCUCCUUCUCUACGGAGGUUUGUAGAAAGGCUGUACAAAAAUCUCACAAGAUGUAUUUCUUCUCGUGGACUGGAGUCCCAAGGUGCUUAAGAGCUCUUCAAUUUGUUAAUGGAAAGAAACACCGUUUACACCGGAUGGCUACAAAGCAACCUUAUUCUGAUCUUUUCUCAGAAUAGCAGUCUGUAGGCUGUCACCUAAAGUGUCCUGUUUUCAGUGCUGCACCUGCUCUGAGCUUCAGCUUUUUACGAAGACGUCAUGGUGUGCUAUCUGUACUGGGAAACUUUCCCCACCAUCAGCCAGCUCCUGAAGAUAACAUUGUCUGCUAGAGAUUGUCAUGUAUGUGGAUUGAAUCUCUUUAUCUUCAUGGUCCUCUUUCUGUGCCCCCAGCCCGGUUGACAAUGUGUGCCUUCACUCACCCAAUUAGAAACCUUGGAGGUAUCCUGUACUCUUCUGUCACUUACCCUCAGCCUAAAGCCAAUCAGUCACCAAAAUAUUGUCUGUCAUUAUCAUCAUCAUCAUCAUCAUCAUCAUCAUCACUAUCACCACUGAUGGAGUGAGAACCUUGUGCAGUUGAGCAUGAACCCCAAUUUCAUUUGCAAAAUGACCCAGACAGCAGAUUUCAUCUCAUAUAAAAUAAGCAAGGUGAGGUUUUGAUGACAUUACAGACAUGGCUAAGAAGAGGUUGAGAACCAGCAUUCAGCCCACCUGACUCCAAAGCUCAUGCCCCGAACCUCAGAAACUUCUCCAGUGAGCUCCUUUUUUUUAAUGGCAGGAUCACACCAUUAGUCUGGACUGGAUCCAACCUGGAUUGUUGCAACAGCCUUUGAUCUGAUCUGUCAAGCCCUGUGCCUUCUGUGCAACCCAUUCUCUACCCUGGCACGAGCAUUACUAAAAUACCAAUCUGGUCCUAUGACUCCUCUGCAUAAAAACCACGGCUGGGGCUGGUCAAGUGCAACAGUGUUUACAACUAAUUGAUCACAACCAGUUACAGAUAUCUUUGUUCCUUCUUUAGCCAAAAACAAACAGAAAAACAAAAAAACAAAACCCAAACAACAAAAACAAACACAAAAAACCCCCCAUUGUUGGUUCCCUUUUGCAUCUUUUGAAUUCUAAACUCCUCACAUAGCAUAAAAUCCCCUUCUGGGUCUUUCCCCAGCCUACACCCCACUUCCCCACCUGCCCCAUUCCCCCUGUUGUUCCUACCUCUGGCCUUACUUCAGCCCCAGGGUCCCCUGCUGGACAUGGCAGGCCCAGCACAUGCUGCCCUGGGCCCUUUCACUUUGCUUUGUGACAUAUUUUUCAUCCUUCAACCUUCAGCUCAUAAGCCAUAUUCUCUGUGAAGGCGUCCAGAGGGCCCGAGACAGCCCCUCCCACCUGUGUUCCUCAGAGCAUUCUGUGCCCAUAAUUAGGGUGAACACAUUUCUGAAUCAGCAGUGGAAAUGUUUCAGUUCAGACAGUUACGCAUGUGCCCCUGAAGGCAAUGGGACAGUUAAUAGAGCAAAGUCCAGAAGAAACUCUUGGAGAUGAUUCCUCUUUAUCUGUCUGCUACCCUGUAGAGGGGUGGGGAAGGUACUUCCAGGGUAGAGAGCUGUGGGUGGCCCUUGUAUCUCUUGGAGAUGAUUCCUCUUUGUCUGUCUGCUACCCUGUAGAGGGGUGGGGAAGUUACUUCCAGGGUAGAGAGCUGUGGGUGGUCCUUGUAUUUGCCCAUACCUGACACGAUGCCUAACUGUUGUUUGCUGAAUGUAUGAAGAUUAUGCCAGGCCUGAGAUUCUUUUGAACAUAACCAAAUGUCAUGUGUAAAUUUCUCCAAAUAACCAACCAACAAACCCAGCUCUUUAUAACAAUGGACAAUCCAGCAUGCGUAUUAGGACUGUUUAAGUCUCAGCUUUAUCACUAGAACAAUUCUCAUAGACACACUUCUUCAUCUGUAAAAUGGGGAUAAUGGUAGCUACUUACGGGAGUUGCAGUGAAGACUCUGUGAAUGAAUUGAAGGAAAUUAGCAGGCACAGAGUCUGGCAAAGAAGUCUUUGUUUCAGGCACAAAGAUAUGUGUAGCUCAUCACUAUAAACAGGAACUAGAAGGCAAGGUCAUGUUCUAGAAUAACUUUUAAAAGUUAGGAUAUUGUUGGGAAUUUUAAAAGGUAAGACAAUUAAAAAUAUGACUAAUAUUUGUCAGCUUUUUUUUUUUUUUUUUGAUAUGGAGUCUUGCUCUUUUACCCAGGCUGGAGUGAAGUGGCGCCAUCUCGGCUCACUACAGCCUCUGCCUCCCGGGUUUAAGCGAUUCUCCCUCCUCAGCCUCUUGAGUAGCUGGGAUUACAGGCACCCGCCAUCAUGCCCGGCUAAUUUUUGUAUUUUUAGUAGAGACUGGGGUUCACCGUGUUGUUCAGGCUGGUCUUGAACUCCUGACCUCAAGUGAUCCACCCACCUCGACCUCCCAAAGUGCUGGGAUUACAGGCUUGAGCCACUGCGCCUGGCCUCAUUUGUUAGCUUUAACAUAUGAAGAGACAUCCUCCUAAAUGUUAAAGUACUCUUUGACAUUUUACCCAUGCAUUUUACAGUUGGGCUGGGAGAGAUGUGACUUCCGGUUUGUUUUGCCUCACCUUUGCAUUUCAUCAGCUGUGUCUGAUCCCAGCCUAGCCUGUGUGUCGGAAUCACUUGGAUGAGUGUUUUACAGACUCCUGGGCUCUACCCCAAACCCACUGAAUCAGAAUGGGGACAGGAAGGGAACUGUAAAUCUACAUUUAUGAAAACCUCCCCUUGUGGUUUUGAUAGUCUGCAAGGUUUGGGAAUCACUAGUUCCCAAACACACCAGUAGAAAAGCAUAUAGUAAUUAACAUUCUCAAUUUCUCAGCUUUACAGUGUUUGUAAUUAAAAAAUUUUAUUUGCUUUUUUGUAAGCAAUAUUAGCUUUCUCAAUGUCUGUUUCACCUUCACUGCAGUCUGUUUAUCCAGCCUGGGAAAAAAACUGGCUCGACUUAAACAAUGAGACAAAAAAGGUGCAAACCUGGCAGCUUCCCUACCUUUUUUGCAUUAGCGUGUAGGUAUUUCCUCCAUGUCCUACCAGGGCCAUUUAAAUGCUAAUGUAGUUAAGUACAACAAUCUUUUUAGCAAUCAGAUGGAAUUGUUUUUACCACAAUCUUAUUUCUUAUUUCUCCAGUCCGUACUUUCCUUUUUUGGGGCAGGGUGGGGGUAGGGCUAGAGGGGCAUACAUUUAAAUUCUUUGACCUUUCAAACCUUAACAAAAAUUCUCUCUUAAUAUCUUCUCAGCAGUUCUUGCAAUGUGUCUAUCCUCUAAACCUGAGCUCUGCAAUUUGAAUGUGCUGAGUCACCUUGUCUUUGCAGGGUCAAACAUUUUGCAUCCAGGAAAAGUACUGCAGAAAAUCACACCAUUAGCAGCUAGCUGGUAUGUUAUUUGAAUAUUUGAAUACAAAUAGGAAGACUGGAAAGGAGAAAGUUACUGUGUACACAGAUACAUAGUAACUUACAUAUAUUUAAAACAACCUUUUUUUUUUUUUUCUAAUAGUCUGCUAAGUCCUCUUUCUGAUUGAUGACUUUUUUGUGUGUGAAAUUCUCUAAAUAUUUAUUUGUGUUCCUAGAAAGUGAAAAUGAAUAUAAAUGGUAAAGCAGUUGCCUUGCAAUGUUUAAUAAAAGGAGAAAAUAGU